UCUUUCUUUCUUUCUUUCUUUCUUUCUUUCUUUCUUUCUUUCUUUCUUUCUUUCUUUCUUUCUUGCACUUAUCCUGUCAUCUAUUGUGUCUCCUCUGCUUUCCUCACUCACUCUCUGGCGCUCUCUCACUCAGUCAGUCUUUCUCUUUCUCUCUCCCUCUCCCUCCCUCCGUCCCUCUUCUCAAUUUGUCCUUCAGCUCUGUCAGCGCACAGUCCACAUUCUCUGAUCCCUCUAUUGCAGUUUCAUUAAGCUUCCUCAGUCAAACUUUGCAUGGUUAGGUGGGGAGGGAUGGGCAGCCGUGAGUUUGACGCAUUUGAACGCCACAUCAUCAGGUUAUAAAAAAUCCUCUUAUAAGAAAGGUUCAAGUCUUUUGAUUUUAUAUAGGGCUUUUUCUUUGUACUUGCCAUUGGUUCUUUUUGGUCUUUUUUUCCUCCUCUCAUCCUCUUCCUCCCAUCCGGUGUGAGAAAAGCAACAUCUCCCAUGACCCUCCUCUCCUCUCUGCAUCCCUAAACUCUCCGUCGCUGAUUCAGCUCCCAGGGAACAGACAGACACUCUGCCUGCAGCAGCCACACCGCACGGGCCGCCGCCCCGCCAGAUCACCCUGAUACCGGACUCUGAAGCUGUCCCACCUCCUCAGACCAUACUGUAGGACUUCACACCAAAAAUGCUUUGCUAAAGCUGGUAAAAUGGAACCAAAUCAACUGUUCAAUGGAUUUGGUCCCCUUCAACCAGCUGUAGCUGUGCAUUGAUCACUCCGGAUCACUGAAGAGUGGGACCAAGAAUGGUUGACAGACACACCAAGACUCCAUCUGACUCACUGACCUGAGAACAGGGCUCACCAGAGGGAAUCUGGCAGAGACACUGUGUCAGGAAUGGACACACUGAUCCAGGAGCAGAAAAGCCCAACUGAACCUUCAGACCACAACUGGGUAGGCUGCAAGUAGGAAUGAAUAUUUUGUACACCAGAAGGGAUAUAGAUUUUUUUGCAAUAAAAAAUAGUCCAGGUAAUUACUUAUUUAGUGAGUCAGCGUUUUUGCCAUAACUAUGUAUUGUAAUGUUUUACAGUCGAUAUUGUUGCUAUCCUUUGUAACUGACUGUACUGGAAGGGAAAGGAGAAGGGGGAUGUGGGGUUGGUAAAUAAGUGAAGCAAACGGUUGUCUCUCUCUCUUUGACUCUUAAUGCAGACGUCUGAUCAAUAAAAACCCAUCCUGAAGUCCAUAAA